CAUAGGAGCCAGAGGGGGGGCCAUGCCAUUGCUUCCGGGAGCCACAUGGCACAGCACCCAAUCCUGCUCCCCGGCUGGAGUGCCGGAGGGGGCCGUGCCGCUGCUUCUGGGAGUUGUGUGGAGUGGCCCUCAACCUUGCUUCCUGGCUGGAGCACUGGAGUGGGACAAGCCCCAGAUCCUCCUCCCCAGUAGGAAUUGAGGGCUGGAUUAAGAUGGCUGAUGGGCCAGAUGUGGCCCACGGGCCGUAGUUUGCCCACCCCUGCUAUAGACUGAACAAAGCUAUUGGCAAAGGACCUGCUCUGAUUGCCCAUCUUGUGUAGCAGUGUUGCUGUCCCUUCAGAAUGCUGAAGUACAAGAUUAUUAUUACUAGUGCUGUUUAUCUGCCAGCGCCCCCUGGUGGUAAGCAGUGUGCAAACCUAGAACUGAGUUCAUAUGUUUAUAAACUUAUUACAAAGAGCUUCCAAUCUCUCUAAGGUAGAUAUACUGUCAUAUCUGAGUGCCUCACGGUCUUUAAUGUAUUUAUCCUCACAACACCCUUGGAAGGCAGGGCUGUUAUCCCCAUUUUACAGAAGGGAAAGCAAGGCACAGCGUCUAAGUGACUUGCCCAAGGUCACACAGGAUGUCUGUGGCAUGGCAGGAAAAUGAACCAAGGUUUCCUGCAUCCCAGGCUAGGACCCUGACCACUGGGCAAUUCUUCCUUUCUUAGGUAACAACAGUAUCUUUUUAACAGGACUAUUACCAGCACUAUAAUGGUGGAAGGGCAUUUAUUACAGAAAGAUGGUGUCUGUUCCAUCAAUUGUUUUCCAGCUGUUAUCUCAGAGAUGGCUUGGGUUUUUUAAUGGGAGAGGAGGACUAGGAGUGUCAAGCCACUGGCUUUGUAAAUAAGCCAAGCUGUAAAAAUAAAAUUGAAAGGAAUACUAUGCUUUUGGCCAUGGCCAGAGUUUUUUGUUCGGGCUUCUAGGCUUUAUUUGUAAAGCUCAUGGUAGGAUCCUUCUGAUCUCCGAGUAAAUUUUGCAUAAACAUAAUUAGCGUCAUAGUCAUCUUGUCAUGUGUUCUAAGCAGCAUGUGUCGUGGAAGAACAAGAACUGUUCUUUUCAAACUUUAGACAAAAAUAGAUGGAGAUUGACACUGGAUCUCAGAUCUGAGGCUUAGGUAGGAAUUUCUGGUCCUCUCAGUGUUUUUUUUUUAAAAAAAAAUCCUUAAACCCUACUGCCAUCUAGAGGUGCAAAUGGGAGAAAACAGACCCACAUACUGCAAAAGCCCAACAGCUUCAGAAGUUGUGAGGCUAAUUUCCAGAGGUGUUUAAGUGUGUGUGACUGAGUGCAGUUCAGGAAGUGUGUAUUCACUCAUCCCAUUCCAGAUCAUACGAUAGUAUUCAGGCUACAAGAACGGAACAACAUUUUCUGUUCUUACAAUAUUUUAUUCUGAGGAGGAUUCAGUUUCUGGCUUUGCCACUGACUUGCUGUGUGAUCAUGAGCAAGUCACUUUCCCUCUUCUGUGCCUUCCUUACUCCACCCACCCUCUGUCUUGUCUAUUUAGAGCACAAACUCUUUGGGUUAUGAGUAGUCUCUUGCUUUGUGUGUCUACAGCACCUAGCACAACGAGGCCCUGAAUCUCAUUUGGGCCUUUAGACGCAAUUGUAAUGGAAAUGAAAGAACUAUGAGGCUUGACAUAUCUUGUGCGAUCUACUAGUUGAGACCAUUGGAAAUGACGGGUUCAGCCACAGGCUAUGGUCUGUGCAUACAGCAAGUAUGAGUCACAGCACCCUGUGAGUCUGCAUAAAUAGACGCAAAAUGGCUGCUCAGCAGCAACAGGGACAUGCCCACAUGCCUUACUGUACAAAACAUGCUUUGCUCUGCACACAUGCUGCAUAGGCCUUUCUCCAGUGAUCCUUAUUACAAACAUGGGCUCAAAAGAAAAACUUAGACUAGACAUGAGAUAAAGCCAGAAACUCCAGUCUGAUCCCAUUUGAGUUUCAAGGGGUAUAGUUGGGGAAAAGGAAAGGCAGUUUGAGGUAAAAAUCCCUGGGUUCUAACCUGCCGUAAUGGGUUUGGUUCCAAAUCAGGGCUAUAAGAGGAAGAGGGCCUCUUUUCUAUUUCCAGUUCAGAUUCAGCUGACAUUUAAAAAAUAAAAAAAAAGACUGAAGGGAUUUGAGGGGGUCAAAUCCAAAUGAUGGGCCUGUUUCUCCUCUCAUUUACACUCGACUAAAAUCAAGAUUAACUCCACUGAAAACAAUGGAGUUGCACUGAGAAGAAUGAGGUCCUUAAAAUCAGUGGCGUAGCCAGGUUCAAAGUGCAGGGGGAGCAAACAUAAAAAAGGUGCCCCCCCCCUUGGCUCCUCCUCUGGUCAUGCCCCCCUUGGCUCUUCCUCCGGCUGCUCCACGCCCCUCCCCCCCCCGCUGGCUCCUCCGGCCACGCUGCGUCCCCCCUUGCUUCCUCCAGCCACGCUGUGGCCUGGCUGUGCCCCCCUCGGAGGGGCUCGGUCCAGGGGGUGGGGACUGGGUGCGGCCUGGCUGAGCAAGUUUUUAGGGUGCGGUUGGGGGGGGGAGAGAAGAGGCGAGAAAGUUUCACGCGUCCCUGGGCGGGACUCACCAGCUGCCAAGCGACCUCGGAGGAAGCCAUGACACCGCGCCUAGCGGCCACCAUGGACAGGGAGGGGAGAGGCACGCGGGAAGCUCCAGGUGGGCUGGAGUCUCGGACGUGACGUGAGCGGGAAGUGGACGGUCGGUCCCUGACCACCCCCUCCCAGACACCCUGCUCAUUGGGUCUGCGCUUACCUGGCUGCCCAGGUGCUUCUGAUGAGUGACCUCCUCCUCCCCCACAGCGCCAGGACGCCCAGCUCCUGCUGGUUCCCGCUGAGUCCGGCACGACCUAGGAGCCAGCUCCCCACGGGGAACGGAGACCAAGCAGCCGGUACAUCCCCCUGUGGGCGGCACUGCUCAGGGGGGCACUUUGCACCCCACCACCCGGAGAGCUGGAGCAACAGCAGCACCUGUGCCCAGGCAGCAGCAGCGCCUCCUCCCGUCCCUCACUUUCUUCUCCCUCGCUCCGAGCCAGGCGCCCCGCUGCAGUCCCUCCACGCCGCGAAGCUGCUGGCGCUCUGCCUAGUGUCGGAAUGUCUUGAGCUACCGCCAAGGCAGCUUCCCCCCUCCCGCCGCCGCGCCACGCAAGGACCCAGAGCUCUGGCAGCUCCCAGACACCCUGCUCAUUGGCUCGCCCGCCACUGACCUCACUGGAACUGCUUACGCCCACCGCCGGCCUCGCCUAGGGAUUCUUUAGUAUAGGGACGCCUGCUGGCGCCAUGGUAACCCCUAACUAAGGCGCCACUUUUGAAAAAUGUGCUGAGGGGAAGCGGCUGCUUUCCCUGCACCCCCCCCAGCUACACUACUGCUUAAAAUCCAGCCACGAUUUUACCUGGAAAACCAAAUUCCAGGCUAAAUUAAUUCAGAUCCAGAUCUAAACUUCUCCUCAUUGUCCCAUCUCAGUUAAAGGUCUGAGUGAGAUGAAUGAAUUGUUAGGGCUAUUUUUGCAGUAUCUUGUUAUGAAUGAAGCAAGCAUGCAAUAUUCCAGAAUCAAUGUCUCUUGCAUUUUUCCUCUAGUUACAUAACUGUGACCUUCCUGAUUGAAGUAAUGUCCUCUGCAAAUGCAAGAGUUGUUUGGGACAGGAGUAAUGACAGCAACAAAGAGGUGAAUCUGUUUGUUUGUUUUAGUUUUUAAGUAUUUUCCCUGAGGUUAAAUUAGUGCCUCUCUCCAUUUGUGAUGAGCCAUGGUGCUCAAGCGAGUAACCCUGGGGGCAGGGCCUUUUAAGGAAGGGUCUUUGACUCUGCACCUUUGCUUCUCUGCCUCUAUCAGUUUCCAGAUUUGUUGACCUUCGGACUCUACUGCAAAUACGAUUUUUAAAAUUUCAGUCAAAAAUUAUCAUUGAAACUUUCUCAAUGUCUUUGAUCAGCUGUAUCCAGGACAGAUUCCCAAAGGUAGUGGUUACUUCCCUGGAACUCAGUUCAAGAGAUCUGGGCUCUUCUCCAGACUGUGUGACCUCGGGCAAGUCACCUCCUCUCUCUGACCUCAAUUCCCCACCUGUACAGUGUGGGUGAUAACACUUCUUUUCUCCCAUCCUUUGUUUGUCUUGUCUAUUUAGAUCAUAAACUCUUGGGGGCAGGAACUGUUACUUGCUAUGUUUGUACAGUGCCUGCCUUAGGUGCUGCUGUAAUGCAAACAAUAAAUAACCACAUUCACAGUGUAUCCCGAAAGUCAACAAAUCUGCUGCAUGGAAUGAAAUGAUGUUGAAAGAAAAUAUUCCCAUAUCUGCAAAGAGAGGAGAAGAGUCCACCCAGUCAAAGACUCUUCGUUCAGUAAGUUUCCCUUCAGUAAGAAUUUUUCUUUUCUUUUGCUUGAAAGGGUAAGGGCAGGGCAUCCCUUAUCCUUCAUUAUAGCUCCGCGGAUCCUCUCUGUUAUCAAACAUCUCACCAGAGCUACCAUCCUUUUAGCUGAGAGCACUGAGCGGUUCAGAGCCGAUUGAGCCUAGUUCCCAGCUGGUAAGUAGAUGGUUCUAUUGCACCAUAGCAUACAGGAGGAAGAACUGGUGCCAUGUCUCCAACUUCUGAUGGAUGUGGUGAGCCCACACAAUUUUCCUUGUAUCUGUUUUGUCUUUGAAUUUGGAUUCUGCUAUAGAAGUCUGAACCUAAACAGUGUGACCUCUUACACAACCUUUGAACCAGGGAUGGCUGUUUUUGUUCCUAUGCAAAUGAGACCUUUAAAAAAUGUCAAGAUACCUCCAGAAUAGUCAAUAGCUAAAUGGUUUGGGCACCUCACAGACUCCUGCUGUACCUGAUCUGGUCUCUGACAUCCUAGAUGAGUGCUCUAACCACUGGGCUAUUUGCUAUUCUAGGGUGAGUCUCUCUGUCUCGGAGGCCAGAAAUUCCAUCCUGGACGUGAAGAAAGCUUCGAUGAAACAAUACGUUUUUGCAAAAAAAAAAAAAAAUUUUUUUUUUUUUUUUUUUUUGUUGGACCAAAAAAGUUUUGUUGACAAUUUUGGACCAGCUCUACUUUGAACCAAAUAUAACCCGAAGUAUAGAGAAGAAUCUAGCUAGUACUGCUGUAUUAUCGUCUUGAAGUCAUAUAGAGUCUCAACCUGCUCUGAAGUCAGUGGAAAGACUCCUAGUGAUUUCAAUAGACAUUGAACCAUGCCUUUUAGUCUUACCCACUAAUCACAUGAAUUUAGCUUUUGAGAGCCAACUGGUAAAUCUGAAUAUUAGGAAUUGACUCAAAUCCAUCAGUUAUACAGGACGUAAUAAAAUGCUUCUCAUUUCAGAUACAUUUUCCUAUAGGGCUGGUGAGCCUGUGGAAUUAUCAAUUCUACAGGGAGAAUGAAUAAUUUUAUUUUUUAUUCCAAGGGUAUGUAUUAUUAUAUGACUAUAUUAUGGUGUACAACACACAUAUUGUACAAAUAUAUAUACACAAUAAAUAUAUAUUACUGUUAUAGAAACUGUAUAUAAUAACCUGAAGGUAAAAAAAUCUGGUGUGUGUGUGUGUAUACAUACAUAUAUAGGAUGUAUAUUAUUAUGUGAUUAUAUCAUGACUUAAGAGGAAGCUAUUUGGCUAGUAACAAGAGAAAUUAAAAAGUGAGUGAUUCACUAUAGAGGCCUUCUGAAUACGGAAUGUAAAGUACAUAGAGGUCCCUUAAGUGAUGUAGGAGCCCCAUUAAGCAACCUCCUCUGUGCUAACAAUAUGAAUCUGAUUUAAUUGGACUAGUCUACUGCCUCCAGCCUCAAUGAAAACUGACACCAGGACCUGACUAGAGCCUGGAAAGCAGGCUUGUUUGUAGAGUCAAUGAACAGCUGCUGCAGCUGGGAAGAGAAAGUGCUGAAUCAGCAAGUUUUUGACAUUGAAAGCAUCAUGUUAGUCAUACUGAGAUUAGCCGUGAAAAGGACCCUUUUGUGCUAUAAAUGUCUUUAAAUUCUGUUGGAGGCAAUGUUUGGGCCCUGCCAAGCCUAUGGUGCCUUAGGAUCCUCGGAGGUGAGACCUCCGAAGAUUUCUCUUCACACACACUCCCCUCAGUUACGUUUGGGACAUAUCCCCAAAGAAUCACCUUGCUAAGGAACACUUCCCAGAAUCCCUAGGCCUGCUGUAUGCAGAGUAGUGCGAUAAAACACUGUUAUGCCUGGGGAGGGUUUUUUCAGGCCCAGUCUGUUUUGCAGUCCCAGUCAAAAAUGCUAAUGCCAGCUCUGAACUCUGCACCCACAGCAGUGUCCAGUUCCAAAGGUGAUGCCCAGUUGAGGAUCAUGUGCUCAUGUUUAGUGUACAUGUAACAACCCCUCUCCCAUCCCACAUGGGUUGCCAUCAGGAUUUGAAUUGAGAAUCUUCAACACCACAACAACAAACUUCUACCACUUGAGCUAAAAGAGUAUCUCCCUGGUCUUUUAUAAAUAGUAAGUUGUUGUCCUCUAGUGGAAUGCAAUACCCGCUUUGCCAGUGUGUUACAUAGAGUGCACAUGACCAGAAAAUGGUUCUGUCCCUUUUAUAUUCUCUUGAAGGAAUCCUCAUCAAAGUACAUUUGCUGCUGCUAUUGCCUGCCAGAUGAUCCAAAGCCAAGUGUGUUUGAUAUAAAUGAGCUGCUCUCUCUGACUGACCUGACCAAGAUGUACUUCAGUACGGGUAGGUUUCCUGGAUGUAUUUUGCUUUCCUAUUUUGCUUUGGAACUGAUUCUCUGGGAAACUUUCAGAGUUAUUCUCUCUAUGUCCACCUUCACCGGCUGGAGCUGGAUGAGAUUGUGGCAGCUUAGUCUGUUACCAGUGCGUUCAGCAGAGCACUUUACAAAUGUAACCAGAAUUGGGAAUUGUGGGUACAAGUAAUUGCAUUUCUUGAAAGUUUUUGUCAGUGAAACACCAUACAAAGCGCUUUCUGGACCCAAACCAAGCCAGUUUCUGAAGCUGAAUUCUUUCCAAAAUCCUCUAAACUUACUCUGCUGCGAUGUCCUAGAAGUUCCAAACUUUCUUGUUGGAUAUGUUUCCAUUGGUUCCCUCGCUUCACAGGUCUUUCAUCAAGGUCUUGUUACAUUCCUAGGUGGUGUCUCAUGAGCAUAUGCUCUGAGGCGAGCUGAUUGAAAAAUGGAAUUUCCAUCCUGCAGGAAAGUCUGUUGUUUUGCCAUUUUGAAGUGGUACAUCCAGAUUGGGAGAAAAUAGCAAAACUUUUUGAGGAUGAAGGAUUCUGAAAAUAUUUAAUUUGCAAAUGUCAGUGUUUUAUUUUGGAUCAACAUCAAUCUCUAUGUCUGAGCUGCCAUGGUGCCUUGUGGGAUUUGUAGUUUUAGGUCCUUUAUGCCCUCCUUCACCCAUAUGGGCCUUGCUCCAUGACUGCAGUAUAUCUCCCAUGAUGCACUGUGGUCUCUCCCUGUGACUAAAUCUCCAUGGGACUCCCAUGAUGCACUUCCUUUUGUAGCACUCUUAGCUUCUUCUGUGUGAUACUCUCAUACUCAAAGAGAGAGGCAAUCUAGCAUUUCACUGCUGCCCUCCUCACAUAAUCCAUCCCAUCAUAAGUCUUGAUAGUUCUAGCAUCGGUAACUUUUCUCCAGUUGAUGUGGAAACUCCAGGCGACUUGGAUCAGGCUUCAGUUCCCCGAGAGCUGGCUCCCAUAGCGAGCUGCUUGUGAAGGAGGUAUAUAGAAAGAAACGGACAGAAAACCUGGCAGUUGAUAACAGAGCAGCUGUAUUUGCUAUUUUCAAAUGACAAAACAGAAAGCAAGGUAACUUUAAAAUGAUGCACAGGGUGAAACAACUUAAAAGCAGGGAUGCAGUGUAUAGCAACAUUGCUGUUCACACAAUGCUGAAAGAUGAGGUACUAUUUUUGUACACACUUAAGCUGAUUUUAUUAAUCUUGACUUGAAAAUCAGAGGACAUCUGAGCCAUAUAUUACACAAAGGAGACAUAUUUUGAAUUGACUCCAAUGGGCUCUCUGCUUGGUGACUUUUCAGCUGAAGGUCCUAUUUUCAGGGCCGCCCAGAGGAUUCAGGGGGCCUGGGGCAAAGCAAUUUCGGGGGCCCCUUCCAUAUAAAAAAGUUGCAAUACUAUAGAAUACUAUAUUCUUGUGGGGGGCCCCUGCAGGGCCCGGGGCCUGGGGCAAAUUGAGAAUGGCUGUGUCACAGGCCUGCUGUGCUUGGGGAAGAAUUCUGACUGAACAAUUUUCUGUUCUCCAUGUAUAUAGCGAACCAUGUUCACAAAAGUAUCCCGGGCCAGAUCCUUAGCUGUUUAAACUGGUAGCUUCAUAGACUUCAAUGGCAUUAAACCAGUUUACAUCAGCUAAGGAACUGGCCCCCAUAUGUAAAAUACAGGCACUUAUGCAAAGCAUAAUAUCCUGUAGAGAUAAGUGUAACUUUGGCAAGUGGGUGAAUGUUUUAGUAUAGUCAAAGUGAAAUCAAACUACUGAUUUUUCACAAGAAAUUAAAAACAAACACAACUAAAAAGAAAUCUGCACAGGCCCAAACUGCACUAACAGGAACCACCUAAGUAUCUGAGCCCCUCCAAUUCUUUCAUGUGUUUAUUCUCACAACACCCUUGUAAUGUAGGAAGUGAGGUGGGAAACUGAGCCAGAGUGACUUGCCUAAUGUCUGUCUCUCUCUCUCUCUCUCUCACACACACACACACACACACACACACACACACACACACACAGAGAGUCUGUGGCAGAGCUGAGGUCUCCAAGUCUAGAUUAGCACCCUAGCCACUGGACCAUCCUUCCUUGCAUGGACUUCCUCUUUCAAUAAACCUUAUGGGGAUGCCCUUGAAAUUUUGUUUGCUGCUGUCCUUGGAAGUCCUUGGCAGUGCUCCUUAAUGGCACUAUGAUUGUGGGGCUACAGAUCCAGUGGCUGUUCCAGUAUCUAAAGUAAUCCUCCCCCCAAGAGUCUUUGUGAACGGUCCAAAAAAUAUGUCAUAAAUAAAACGCAACCUGGUGGUACUCCUGACAGAAUUCUGCACCCCUGCAGGGGUGCAGAAUUCAAAUGGGCUGCAAAUUUCUGUGCCCCCCCUGUGACGGUGCUGCCCAUGGGAGCCAGCUGAGGUCACUCAAUUAGGGUGAACUGCAAACAAAAUGGGGCAGACAAACCCCAAACGCUGGUGGUUAUUCCAAUACUUAGAUUUACCA